GGGUGGUAUCGGAAUUACUGGGCGUAAGCGUGCGCAGGCGGUUUUGUAAGACAGGCGUGAAAUCCCCGGGCUCAACCUGGGAACUGCGCUUGUGACUGCAAGGCUAGAGUAUGGCAGAGGGGGGUGGAAUUCCACGUGUAGCAGUGAAAUGCGUAGAGAUGUGGAGGAACACCAAUGGCGAAGGCAGCCCCCUGGGCCAAUACUGACGCUCAUGCACGAAAGCGUGGGUAGCAAACAGGAUUGGAUACCCUGGUAGUCCACGCCCUAAACGAUGUCAACUAGGUGUUGGGUGGGUAAAACCAUUUAGUACCGGAGCUAACGCGUGAAGUUGACCGCCUGGGGAGUACGGCCGCAAGGUUAAAACUCAAAGGAAUUGACGGGGACCCGCACAAGCGGUGGGUGAUGUGGAUUAAUUCGAUGCAACGCGAAAAACCUUACCUACCCUUGACAUGUUCAGAAGCCUGAAGAGAUUUGGGUGUGCCCGAAAGGGAACUGGAACACAGGUGCUGCAUGGCUGUCGUCAGCUCGUGUCGUGAGAUGUUGGGUUAAGUCCCGCAACGAGCGCAACCCUUAUCCCUAGUUGCCAGCGGGUCAAGCCGGGCACUCUAGUGAAACCGCCCCGGAUAACGGGGAGGAAGGUGGGGAUGACGUCAAGUCCUCAUGGCCUUUAUGUCCAGGGCUACACACGUGCUACAAUGGCCGAUACAAACCGUCGCAAACCCGCGAGGGGGAGCUAAUCGGAAAAAGUCGGCCCCAGUUCGGAUUGCAGUCUGCAACUCGACUGCAUGAAGCUGGAAUCGCUAGUAAUCGCGGAUCAGAACGCCGCGGUGAAUACGUUCCCGGGCCUUGUACACACCGCCCGUCACAUCACGAAAGUGGGCUGUACUAGAAGCCGGUGCGCUAACCGCAAGGAAGCAGCCGUCCAAAGUAUAACUCAUGAUUGGGUGAAGUCGUAACAAGUAAC
rnacentral:rRNA from 1 species